CACGUAGGGCGCAAGCGUUGUCCGGAAUUAUUGGGCGUAAAGAGCUCGUAGGCGGUCUGUUACGUCCGCUGUGAAAACCCAGGGCUUAACCCUGGGCUGGCAGUGGAUACGGGCAGACUAGAGGUAGGUAGGGGAGAAUGGAAUUCCCGGUGUAGCGGUGAAAUGCGCAGAUAUCGGGAGGAACACCGGUGGCGAAGGCGGUUCUCUGGGCCUUACCUGACGCUGAGGAGCGAAAGCGUGGGGAGCGAACAGG
rnacentral:rRNA from 1 species